AAUCUUCAGAAACCCUUUUCUCUUUGAACCAUUGUGGUCGGGAAAGGGAUUUUUGGACUUGGAGGUUUAAUGCUCGCCCUUUCUUUCGAAAGCGAGCUCCUCUCAAAUGAAUUAGUGGGGUCCGCUUUGCUGAUCCUUAACGUGAUAAGAUGUUUCUACGUUUUGGAUUUGGCACUGUCCUUUGGAUGCCUGCUUCUAACCGUCUCGCGGACAAUGAUGGUGCUCCGGUCACCGCCGUCUACAUCGGCGGGAGGCUGGACCCACAAAAAGAAAA
rnacentral:misc_RNA from 1 species